GUAAUAGUGUGUAGUCACAUUCUGACCUCGGUAUGUGUGUGUGUGUGUGUGUGUGGACCCGCCGAUCCUCUCGCGAGGGCCGGCGGACGAUGUGUGCACAAGUGUGUGUGUGUGUGUAGCGUUCGAUAAUGAUCCUUCCGCAGGUUCACCUACGGAAA
rnacentral:misc_RNA from 1 species